GUCAAAUUAUGUCACUUGAAUCAACUUAUUACUAGCAUCACGUACAGUUAUUACAAUGGCGUUCAGUUUAGCCGCUUUUUCAUAUAUCGUGGCUUUAAUUGUAGAUGCUUUUUUAAUCAUUUUUGCAAUAUUUCAUGUUAUUGCAUUUGAUGAAUUAAAAACUGGCUAUAAAAAUCCAAUUGAACAAUGCAAUAGUUUAAAUUCGCUAGUUAUUCCAGAAUAUGGAAUACACAUUUUAAUCAACAUUUUAUUUCUAAUUAGUAGUCAAUGGCUUUCGUUGCUUUUAAAUAUGCCAUUGAUAAUAUAUCACUUGUGGCAAUAUUAUCAUAGACCUAUCAUGUCUAAACCAGGUCUUUAUGAUCCCACUAGCAUAAUGAGUGCUCAAGCUCUCAAAAUUCAUCAGAGAGAAGGAUGGAGUAAACUUAUAUUUUAUCUUUUAUCAUUUUUUUAUUAUUUAUAUGGAAUGAUUAGUUCAUUGAUUUACUGAGGGAUGGAAAUCAUUCUUUAUUAUUCGCCAAUAAAAUUUGUUUAUAAUACAUCCUCAAUCAUCAAUGCUUCAUCAGGUAGUCGUAGGAUUCAGUACACUUUUAUUAAGGAGUCUAAGUGAAAGACUUUUAUUUAUUUAUUUUAGAGUAGGAAAAGCUCUACUAUAAAUGACGUAUAUAUAAAUUGUUUAUAUAUAUAAAUUAUAUAUAAAAGAUGUUUAUGUAAAUAUAUCUGAUUAUAUUUAUGCAACGGAAAUUUGAAUGCUUUUACUUGUAUUAUUAUUACUUGUUCCGUUCUAAAAAUUUGCGAAUAACCAUUAAUUUGUUAAAUUUAAAUCUGCAAACUACAGAAAUAUAUAUGUACAGAAAUAUAUGUAUGAUAGGUAUGACAGAUAUACCUAACCUUAA